rnacentral:rRNA from 1 species
GCUCAGAACGAACGCUGGCGGCGUGCCUAACACAUGCAAGUCGAGCGAGAAAGCCCGCAAGGGUGAGUAAAGCGGCGCACGGGUGCGUAACACGUGGGUAAUCUGCCCUGGAGUCCGGAAUAACUCGCCGAAAGGCGUGCUAAUGCCGGAUGAGACCACGGGAGCCUCGGCUCCUGCGGGAAAAGGUGGCCUCUGUACACAAGCUACCUCUUCAGGAUGAGCCCGCGGCCCAUCAGCUAGUUGGCGGGGUAAUGGCCCACCAAGGCGACGACGGGUAGCUGGUCUGAGAGGACGAUCAGCCACACUGGAACUGAGACACGGUCCAGACUCCUACGGGAGGCAGCAGUGGGAAUCUUGCGCAAUGGGCGAAAGCCUGACGCAGCAACGCCGCGUGUGUGAUGAAGGUCUUCGGAUCGUAAAGCACUGUCGCGAGGGACGAAUAAGGGCCGGGAUAAUACCCCGGUCCGAUGACGGUACCUCGAGAGGAAGCACCGGCUAACUCUGUGCCAGCAGCCGCGGUAAUACAGAGGGUGCAAGCGUUGUUCGGAAUUAUUAGGCGUAAAGCGCGUGUAGGCGGCUCAGCAAGUCAGGUGUGAAAGCCCUCGGCUUAACCGAGGAAGUGCGCCCGAAACUAUUGAGCUUGAGUACCGGAGAGGGCGGCGGAAUUCCCGGUGUAGAGGUGAAAUUCGUAGAUAUCGGGAGGAACACCAGCGGCGAAGGCGGCCGCCUGGACGGUCACUGACGCUGAGACGCGAAAGCGUGGGGAGCAAACAGGAUUAGAUACCCUGGUAGUCCACGCUGUAAACGAUGAGCGCUAGGUGUUGUGGGUGUUGACCCCCGCAGUGCCGCAGCUAACGCAUUAAGCGCUCCGCCUGGGGAGUACGGCCCGCAGGCUAAAACUCAAAG